GACGAACGCUGGCGGCGUGCCUAAUACAUGCAAGUCGAACUCACAGUUUAUACCGUAGCUUGCUACACCAUAGACUGUGAGUUGCGAACGGGUGAGUAACGCGUAGGUAACCUGCCUGGUAGCGGGGGAUAACUAUUGGAAACGAUAGCUAAUACCGCAUAAUGUUAAUUAUUGCAUGAUAAUUAAUUGAAAGGUGCAAUUGCACCACUACCAGAUGGACCUGCGUUGUAUUAGCUAGUAGGUGAGGUAACGGCUCACCUAGGCGACGAUACAUAGCCGACCUGAGAGGGUGAUCGGCCACACUGGGACUGAGACACGGCCCAGACUCCUACGGGAGGCAGCAGUAGGGAAUCUUCGGCAAUGGACGAAAGUCUGACCGAGCAACGCCGCGUGAGUGAAGAAGGUUUUCGGAUCGUAAAGCUCUGUUGUAAGAGAAGAACGGGUGUGAGAGUGGAAAGUUCACACUGUGACGGUAUCUUACCAGAAAGGGACGGCUAACUACGUG
rnacentral:rRNA from 1 species